GGGAGCUGCAGUUCUGCAACACCAGGAGAGCCACCUUAACCCUCCCCCUGUAGUUUCUUACUAUUUAGAAAGGCUUGCCAACUAUUCCUCUUGUUGUGUAUCCUCCUUCUGCAGUUCAUGUGAAAUCUCUUAUCACACCCCUGCCUUAUCUUUAAUGUGUAAAGUAUUCAGUAAAUCCAAUGAAUCCAACCUUGUUUAACCAUGAUCUCAUGUAGGAUAACAGGGUCAGCUCCCAGAUGCUCAAAUCUCCAAAAUUCUAAAGAGAACCUUCCUUGGUGUAUUUACUAUAAUUUCUUGAGGAUUAAUUGCUCUAUUGUCUAUGUGGCCUGUGUCACCUUCUGGUUUAGAUAAAGAGCAACAGUGGGAUUAAUUCUUAAUCAGAUGGCAUGAUAUAUUGGUGUGGGAAUGCAGUCUAGCAGCCAUUCUGAGUCAGCUGUUCUGAUGAUAAUGUUUCUUGCCUGCCUCUUGUGUCUGGCUGCCCACAUGGGCAGCAGCCUGGCUUCUUGUCCCAAAAGAUGUACUUGCAAUUUCCCCAGGGUAAUUCAGUGUUUUAGGGUGUCAGAUGUACCUGGGGACAUCCCUGACAGCACCAGGAAGCUGUACAUAAGCCACAGCAAAAUCAAGCACUUUCAGGUAAUUAUAAGACUACUACUAUUCUCAUUAUUGUCAAUUUAUAUAUAUAAUUUCUAAUAAUACCUUAGGACUGAUUUUUGUUCCUU